ACGGGUGCGUAACGCGUGGGAAUCUGCCCUUGGGUCUGGAAUAACAGUUAGAAAUGACUGCUAAUACCGGAUGAUGACUUCGGUCCAAAGAUUUAUCGCCCAGGGAUGAGCCCGCGUCGGAUUAGCUAGUUGGUGGGGUAAAAGCUCACCAAGGCGACGAUCCGUAGCUGGUCUGAGAGGAUGAUCAGCCACACUGGGACUGAGACACGGCCCAGACUCCUACGGGAGGCAGCAGUGGGGAAUAUUGGACAAUGGGCGAAAGCCUGAUCCAGCAAUGCCGCGUGAGUGAUGAAGGCCUUAGGGUUGUAAAGCUCUUUUACCCGGGAUGAUAAUGACAGUACCGGGAGAAUAAGCCCCGGCUAACUCCGUGCCAGCAGCCGCGGUAAUACGGAGGGGGCUAGCGUUGUUCGGAAUUACUGGGCGUAAAGCGCACGUAGGCGGCUUUGUAAGUUAGAGGUGAAAGCCCGGGGCUCAACUCCGGAAUUGCCUUUAAGACUGCAUCGCUAGAAUUGUGGAGAGGUAAGUGGAAUUCCGAGUGUAGAGGUGAAAUUCGUAGA
rnacentral:rRNA from 1 species